UUGCAGGCAAUUAAGCCGACUGUGCUCUUUUCCCCGUGAGAGCCUGGUGUGCAAUGGCUACAGACCAGCAACCUCCUUGACAAUGUAUUCAGCCUGUUGCCUGUAAGGGUUGCCCUAAGGGACCUUGGAGACAGAC
rnacentral:snoRNA from 1 species